rnacentral:rRNA from 2 species
CAUGCUUUUGACGGGUAACGGGGAAUUAGGGUUCGACUCCGGAGAGGGAGCCUGAGAAACGGCUACCACAUCCAAGGAAGGCAGCAGGCGCGCAAAUUACCCAAUCCCAACAUGGGGAGGUAGUGACAAGAAAUACUGAUAUAGGGUCCUAUAGGAUCUUGUAAUUGGAAUGAGUACAAUUUAAACCCAUUAACGAGGAACAACUAGAGGGCAAGUCUGGUGCCAGCAGCCGCGGUAAUUCCAGCUCUAGUAGCAUACAUUAAAAUUGUUGCAGUUAAAACGCCCGUAGUUGAAGCUUAGGUCCUUAUCAUCUAGUCUGCCUCACCGCUAGCACUGGUAUGAUUGGGCCUUUUUUCUUGGUAAACUGUUAUGCCCUUUAUUGGGUGUGGCAGUGAACUAGGACUUUUACUUUGAAAAAAUUAGAGUGUUUAAAGCAGGCUUUUGCUCGAAUACCUUAGCAUGGAAUAAUGGAAUAUGACGAGUGGUUGUUUUUCAUUGGUUUUCACGACUACCGUAAUGAUUGAUAGGGAUGGUCGGGGGCAUCGGUAUUCGAUCGUCAGAGGUGA